rnacentral:lncRNA from 1 species
CAGAAAUCAGGGCAGGAAACAUACUUUACAGAAGAUACUUCAAUUUGGGACCCUCCAAACCAGAAGUGCCAAUCAACCAACAGGCUUGAUCUUGGAUGAAGACAAAAUCCAGAAUAGAAGAUCCUGAUUGGAUUCCACUUUAUAUUGGAGAUACUUCAUUGUUGCAAAUAGUCCUAAAAUGCACAGAGCCACACAGGCAGAACGUAACCAACUUAGUCUCCCUGGAACUGGUGACUGCAAUCCUGUGGGGGGCCUUGCCCCCCCCCCGCUAGAACUCUUGAGUGUCUUUUACGGGCAUGUCUGGGCCUGCUGCAAGUCUACCCGGCAACAAGGAAAUAGCCCCAGUACCCUCGC